ensembl:snRNA U2 U2 spliceosomal RNA
AUCGCUUCUCGGCCUUUUGGCUAAGAUCAAGUGUAGUAUCUGUUCUUAUCAGUUUAAUAUCUGAUACGUCCCCUACUCGGGGACUACAUAUUAAAUUGAUUUUUGGAUCACGGAGCUGGAGCCGGGGCUUGCUCUGUCCACUCCACGCAUCGGCCUGGUAUUGCAGUGUCUCCAGGAGCGGUGUGCUUCCC